UACAGAGGUCUCAAGCGUUGUUCGGAUUCAUUGGGCGUAAAGGGUGCGUAGGCGGCGCGGUAAGUCGGGUGUGAAAUCUCGGAGCUUAACUCCGAAACUGCAUUCGAUACUGGCGUGCUUGAGGACUGGAGAGGAGACUGGAAUUUACGGUGUAGCAGUGAAAUGCGUAGAUAUCGUAAGGAAGACCAGUGGCGAAGGCGGGGUCUCUGGACAGUUCCUGACACUGAGACACGAAGGCCAGGGGGAGCAAAACGGGG
rnacentral:rRNA from 1 species